rnacentral:rRNA from 1 species
AGCCGUAAUACAUAAUAGUAUGGGUUGAGUAAUGCCUAGGAAUCUGCCUGGUAGUGGGGGAUAACGUUUUCGAAAGGAACGCUAAUACCGCAUACGUCCUACGGGAGAAAGUGGGGGAUCUUCGGACCUCACGCUAUCAGAUGAGCCUAGGUCGGAUUAGCUAGUUGGUGGGGUAAUGGCCCACCAAGGCGACGAUCCGUAACUGGUCUGAGAGGAUGAUCAGUCACACUGGAACUGAGACACGGUCCAGACUCCUACGGGAGGCAGCAGUGGGGAAUAUUGGACAAUGGGCGAAAGCCUGAUCCAGCCAUGCCGCGUGUGUGAAGAAGGUCUUCGGAUUGUAAAGCACUUUAAGUUGGGAGGAAGGGCAGUAAGUUAAUACCUUGCUGUUUUGACGUUACCAACAGAAUAAGCACCGGCUAACUUCGUGCCAGCAGCCGCGGUAAUACGAAGGGUGCAAGCGUUAAUCGGAAUUACUGGGCGUAAAGCGCGCGUAGGUGGUUCAGCAAGUUGGAUGUGAAAGCCCCGGGCUCAACCUGGGAAUUGCAUCCAAAACUACUGAGCUAGAGUACGGUAGAGGGUGGUGUAAU